UACAGGAGGGUGCAAGCGUUUGUUCGGAAUUACUGGGCGUAAAGCGUGCGUAGUCGGUAUUGAGAGUCGCGGGUGAAAUCCCAGGGCUUAACCCUGGAACUGCCUGCGAGACCUCAGUACUAGAGUGUGAGAGGGGGAUAGUGGAAUACCAAGUGUAGCGGUGAAAUGCGUAGAGAUUUGGUGGAACACCGGUGGCGAAGGCGGCUAUCUGGCUCACAACUGACGAUCAGGCACGAAAGCGUGGGGGAUCAAAC
rnacentral:rRNA from 1 species